AACUUAUUGUUUAGUGUUAUACGUAGUUAAAUUUCUCAAACAUCAAUUUUUUGAUGGCUAAUUGGUUACGAGUUUUUGCCAAUUUUGACAAUUAAAAUCUGUUUAAUUCUUUGAACAAUAUAUAGAUACAUAAAAUCUGUUUAAAACCAUAGACAAUUCUUCUUCCCAUAAGCUUUGAUGCCUUGCUUGUUCCUAAUGAGCUGAGCAAAGUUCAGCCCAGAUCAUGUUAUUGCUAUUGAUAGUCGCAAGUAACAAAACUUGGCAAAUUGCUUCCCAUUUUUUGUUUUAAUUAGAAGCAUUUAUUGCUAUUGCUUCCCAUUUCCAGUUCUUGCUUUCAGUCAAAGAAGCUCAACUAUGAGAGACUGUGAAACUGUCCUUCACAGUCUCAACGGUGGAAUCCCACCCAUUAAAAUGAUCCCAAUAUACCAUUCAUUUUCCAUUUCCAGUAUCAUUUGGUUCGGACUCACCAUGAGUUACAAAUACUGUAUUAGCCAAGCGGAUUUCUGGUCACUGGAUGACUAGUCAUGAUACCACAGCUAUUGAAAUCGACUGAAGCAUUGGCAAAUCAUAAACUUCCCACCUUCAGCAAGCUUUGCUCCAAUUAUUACAUUGUAAUAGGCCAAUUUUGGCCUGGUUAAAAAACAAAUAACAAGCCCAUAUUAUAACCCAAUUACAUUAGCCUAAAACUAAAUCUAACCUAGCCCAAUAAACCCAUCAAAGCCCUUUCGCCUCAGUGCUGCAGCAGCAGCCUCCUUCCCAGCCUUGGCGCCGCAGCAACUGUCUUCGCGCACGAACGCACAACAGCCCCGUAUGUCGCGCACGUCGCCCUCGCACAGUCCACGAACUCUAACCACGAAUAGCAUUAAUAGGACGAUACAUACAGAAAAUUGUAAGAAAUGGCUAUAAAAAGCCAAUCAAUUUAUGUUAUAGGGGUUAGCAAAUAUAUUGUAAGAAAAUUACUGAAAUACGAAAACAAAAGGAAAAUAAAUAUUUUUUUAAGGUGAUUAAUUUGCUCCGUUUUUCCUUUACUUUUUACUUUUUUUUUUAUUUUCCUACUUGUUUCUUAAAAGUACAUAAGCGAAGAAAAGGAAAAAGAGAAGUAUACUUACCUGCGUGGAGGAGACGACGGAACCCCGUUUGCUCUGCCCAAAUCGGAGCCGGGGGGAGGUUUCAAACCCGUUGAAGUGGUUGCGGCGGCUAGGGGUUUGGGUUAAAGAAAACCCUAGCAGAGAAUUUCUCUCCUUCCUCCCCUCUGUUCUUUAAAGAAAAUGAAAUAGACAUGUUUUUUUAAAA
rnacentral:lncRNA from 1 species